CAAAUCAUGGCGAACCUCGCGUUUCGCGAGGUCUUGCGUCCAUUUUUCAUAUUUAAAACAUUCACUCUUUAAAAAAAAUUUAUCAUUGAUAAAAUAAAAAGA
rnacentral:misc_RNA from 1 species